rnacentral:lncRNA from 1 species
CAAUGAUGUGAUCUCGGCUCACUGCAACCUCCCACUCCCGGGUUCAAGCGAUUCUCCUGUCUCGGCCUCCUGAGUAGCUGGGAUUACAGGCGCCGACCACUACACCCAGGUCCUGCAGAGAGAGAAGACCACGAGAAGCAAAAAGCAGCAAGAUGACUGGAAAGAUUCAGGAAUUGGGAGCAGUGAAUAACUCAAAGUGCAGUGGAGGUUGGUGCUGAACAUCAGCAUUAGCUGACAAUUUGUAAAAGAAGCAGUUCCUGGCCAGGUGCCAUGGCUCACGCCUAUAAUCUCAGCACUUUGGGAGACCAAGGAGGGUGUAUCACGAGGUCAAGAGAUCGAGACCAUCCUGGCUAACACAGUGAAACCCUGUCUCUACGAAAAAGAACACAAAAAAUUAGCCAGGUGUGGUGGCACGGGCCUGUAGUCCCAGCUAUUCGGGAGGCUGAGGCAGGAGAAUCACUUUAACCUGAGAGGCGGAGGUUGCAGUGAGCCGAGAUCGAGUCACUGCACUCCAGCCUGGGUGACAGGGCUAGAGUCCGUCUCAUAAAUAAAAUGAAAUAAUAAAAAACAGAUGUUCA